AGUGAACGCUGGCGGCAGGCCUAACACAUGCAAGUCGAACGGCAGCACAGGAGAGCUUGCUCUCUGGGUGGCGAGUGGCGGACGUGAGAGGAAUACAGCGGAAUCUGCUCAGAGGUGGGGGUAAAUGUAGGGAAAGUUACGCUAAUACCGAAUAAGACGUUCGGGUGAAAGUGGGGGAUCGAAAGAUCUAACGGGAUUGGAAGAGCAGAUGUCGGAUUAGCUUGUUGGCGGGGUAAUGGCCCACCAAGACGACGACCCGUAGCUGGACGGAGAGGAUGAUCAGCCACACUGGAACUGGGACACGCUCCAGACUCCUACGGGAGGCACCAGUGGGAAAUUUUGGACAAUGGGCGCAGUCCUGAUCCAGCCAUACCGCGUGGUUGAAGAAGGCCUUCGGGUUUUAAACCCCGUUUGUUGGGAAAGAAAUCUUUCAGACUAAUACCCUGGGAGGAUGACGGUACCCAAAGAAUAAGCGCCGGCUAACUUCGUG
rnacentral:rRNA from 1 species